rnacentral:rRNA from 1 species
CGGGGUGGAGUAAUGUCUGGGAAACGUGCCUGAUGGAGGGGGAUAACUGCUGGAAACGGUAGCUAAUACCGCAUAACGUCGCAAGACCAAAGAGGGGACCUUCGGGCCUCUUGCCAUCGGAUGUGCCCAGAUGGGAUUAGCUAGUAGGUGGGGUAACGGCUCACCUAGGCGACGAUCCCUAGCUGGUCUGAGAGGAUGGCCAGCCACACUGGAACUGAGACACGGUCCAG